AAAGGAAGAUGAGAAUUCUGCCUUCAGUGCUCAUCUGUUCUGCUUAAACUUCCUGAACUUGCAGAAAAAGGUAUUACAUGAACAUUCAGGGUUGCCAGGUGGUGUCCAUGCCCUGCUUGAAAUGGCUGACACAAGGACAGUCUCACAUCAGCACUGAAAAUGUAAGAUGACUUACAUAUUUUGCUGCUUGUGUCAUGCUAUUA
rnacentral:lncRNA from 12 species